rnacentral:lncRNA from 1 species
UAUUUUUUAUGGUAGAAAGUAAUGGGUCCACCAUAUUUAAAGGAAAAUAAAUCUAAUUUAUUAGAGUGCCAUGUGACAGUUUAGGAGCGUUUGUAGGAGUUCUAUGUGGCGGCUUAAGAGUGUUUGUAGGAAGUUUAAUGGACUUUUAGUAUAUAAUAGAUAGAUAGAAGAUAGGGUAGGAUUAAACUUUACAAGUGUGAAAAAAACAAGACUCAGGACCUUCGGUCCGAGCAAUUAAAAAGAAAUCCAACUACCGAGUUCUCUCGCGCCUACCAAGGACCACGAUUUUGAUUUUAGACAGAAGGCUACCCAUUUAGAGCUCCUUUUGCUGAAAGGUUCUGCGGCAGAUUCAAGGCUAUCUUGUACACUUAGAAAUGGUUUAAUUUAUAUAUUUACAACGCGUACUUUGAUCUGGAGCUUAAUUUCUGGCCCUCUUCUUUGCGACGGAUCAGGAUCGUGGGUCCACUGCAGAGGAUCUCAGUCCCUUUGCGAUAUCCCCCACCACCACCACAACACACACACGGCGCGUCUCACACAAUAUGUGGAAAAUACCUACAUGGUUUUAAAUUUAAAAAAUCCAUUUUUUUUCUCAAACAAUUUUAUUUGACCGCUUAACCCUUAAAUUAUUUAAAAUGGCUCAUUUUACUUCCUAAUAACAUUUCUCUUUUUAUUAUUCUCUUUAUAGUACAAUUUUAUAGAGCCAUAGAUGUCACUGUAAUCAAUGUUCAAAAAUAUUUUUAAUUUUUUUUCACUAUAAUGCCUGCAAUUUCGUUUUCUUCCUCUUUUAAUUGUAACGUCUGCAAUUAUUUACACCUACGUGGAUCAUCUUUUAGCAACAAAUUUGCAAAAUAAGUGUAUUUAUGUAGAUAAAAUGUACUACAUGACACUUAAAAAAUGUUAUUUUUCACAAAGAGACACCACAUUAUGUGACUUCGCAAAAAGAGGUGGGCAACUAAAUAAUCCCUAAACACUGUUCCUGAUGCGAAAUUCAAUCUGUAUUUUGUUGAAUAAGGGCCAUUUUUCGCGAACGCAAAUAAGGGCUAUUUUGGUUUGAUAAAAAAGUGCCUUACCAAUUUAUUGGUAAUUUGAAUAGCAAUACUGUAUAUUUGGCUUAAAGCCAAAUCGUUGACAAUGCCAAUGAUCAAUUUGGCAUUAAUAUUGAACUUUCCUCUCCGUAUCAUCAAAUAUUUAGUUUCAUAUUGGUAUCAAUCUAAAUAUGUGUAAUACAUUAUACAUCUCUAUCCAUCAAAAUAUUGAUAGUGUCAAAAUUUGCCAAAAAUUUAACACCACCAAAGAUUUAGUAGGGUAGAGAACCAAACAACUCGGAAGCACCACUAAUUUCACUUGACAUGAGAUGCAGAUGUUCUCAGCUGCAAUAUCUUAAGCCUUUUCAAUGUGACCGCUAAUUCUUUGUGCCAGACUGCCAAUCUAACCAAACGCAUCAAUUAAUAAGGGUUAGAAUUGCCGAGUCAUUGUCUGUUGCUUAAUUUACCCCUUUGCUAGUAGUAGACACGGGAGGACAAAGUUUGCCUCUUUGCAUUAAUUUACAUUUCAAAGAUGGCCAAUUAGCAGGAGUAAUUCGGUUCCAAACUUUUCAAUUGACAUCCUCUAACGUAAAAUUAGAUUAGCAUGGUUACUGAUAUUUGAGACCCAUCACUUACAGGCCCAUGUAUCAGUGACCACAUCAGUUAAAGACAUUCUGUCAGAGGAACAACUCUAUCCCAAACUUUCAAUGCACAAUUGUUCUUGUGUAGACGUCACUGUACCUGUAUCUCUCUAGGAUCAUCAAUCGAUGCUUAAUUAAUCAGAACUACCAUGAUGGCAUGAUGUACGACAAUCACUUCUCAUGUCAGUUAUUACGGAGUCACACCGGCGGCAACGUGUCAGCCGGUAGCUGCUGCGCCGCCGCCGCGGCGGUGGCCGUCGACGUGGCUGUGGCUUUCACCACGAUGGUCGCCGGCGGCGAGACGUUGCACCGGCAGAGCGGGCACGUGGAGUGCGAGUGCAGCCACAUGUCGAUGCAGCCCACGUGGAACAGGUGCCUGCACGCCGGCAGCUGCCGCACCAUCUCGCCGGCCUGGACGUCCUCCAGGCACACCGAGCACAGCGCGCACCUCCCCGACUUGCUUCCGCCGCCGCCGCCGUCGUCGGCCGCAGGGCGCGCGUACGCGAACGCCGGGAGCGCGUCGAUCGCCGCGCCGACGAGCCCGCACGUCGCGCACGCCGCCGCCGCGGGCGCCCUCGCCCGCGCCUCCUCCGCCGCCGCUGCUGUCGUCGGCAGCGCCGCCGGAGCCCCGCCGGCAUCCCCGCACCACCGCGAGACGCAGCCGACGGCGCAGAACAGCACCGCGGCCGCCGCGGCGAACACGCACGCCUUGGCGAUGCUCACCGUGGCGGCGAGCACCGACAGCAGCAGCAGCGACGCGCAGACCAUGACGACGGAGUAGCACGCGAGGUACCCACCAUCCCCGCCGCGCUGGCUCGCCGCCGGGCGCCGUUCGCCGUUAAACAUCUGCAGCCUUCAGCUGAAUCACGAGCUCUGAGCAGUGAGCGCGUAGUACGCCAUGGAGCGGGCGCUCUCGGUGGCAAGAAAUACCCGGUCGUGGCGCGCCGGGUGCGCGCUCUCGGCGUCGGCGUCGGCCCCGCGGCGCGGCCGGUUUUAAGGUUUCUGGCCCGAGGUAUUCGCGGCUGAUGGGCCGCAGAUUUGGUCGGCGGCGUUAAGGAAUCGUGGUUUAGAUUCUUGGCUGAUCGCCUAAUCGAGGGAUAAUGAUAGUUUGGGAGGUGAUCAUUGAUGACACGUAGGAAGGCCACUACUUGUGGUAGCCACUAGAGUCCACAUACAGGUCCAACACGACAGGUCCAUUGGUCGUUGAGAUAUUUUCCCCAAUAGGCUAUCAGCAAAAUUGCAUAAUCCACCUAGAAAAUCACUUUCGUUUUAAGAUUUUGUCCAAUAACCCAUUUUUUUGUUACUGAAGCUCACCAUCCAACACAUGUAAGUAGCUGAUUUAGGCCCAUUUUAUUCUGAUGUGGAUUCACAACGGAUCAUAUCAGACACGUCUGGCUCAUCCAGCGUGGCUAUGAUGUGAGUCUCACUCAAGCUCGUUCUCAGGCUAGCUUGGUGGGAAGACGUGGGUUGAACGCUGAGCUGAUCGAACGGCGGUGAUUGGCGGCAAAUCCACAUUGGAAUAAAUGACAUGAAUCAACUAACUACUAUGUGCAUGAAAGGGGCUAAUUUCGCCUCGACAGUGUUGGAUAGGUAGACUUUUAAUCAAAAUGAGUUACGCGGUGAAAUCUUAAAACUAGAGUGAUAAUUAAAAUGGUCUAUGCAAUUUUGUUAGGCUAUUUAGCGAACGUCCGCCGGUUAGUCCCUUAUAGCAGUGGACACGCUUCAUGAUGGUUAGGUUUUUUUUUUUUUUUUACUUUACAACGAUUUUAGAUAAUUGUUGUCAAGAUUUAAGAGUCCGUAGCUAUAUAAUAAAAAAAUAACAGUUAAAAGAUAGAAAUUCCAGCUUUUUAAAACUUUGUCACUAACUGCUCCUUGAAAUUUCCAGCUCUCAAAAGACAUAGAUUUUGUUUCCACUGGAAACCAAAUCAUGAUGAAGUGUUUUGUAACCUUGCAUAACGAAGCUCUUUUCUGUUUUCCUUUUAGAAAGUUCGAGAUUGUGGUGCCCGCUGGUUCUAUGUAGAUUACAUCUUUGCGUGCUUGAUCCUCUCACGUGCUCAAUUUAUGUAAAAGAAUGACAACUAGUAAAAUUGUUAUUAUUAUAACAUAGCACUAUGACCAUGCUACUAACCUUCGAUUGACACAUCAAAAUGUAGCUUCUCUUGCUCUAUUUUGUUGAAUUAUUAGGGUGUAUAAACUAAUAAAAUGGUCAGUAGGUGUGUGCCUUUAGACUUCCCAGCAGGUUUACAAAACCGAUCAUAAUCACGCAGUAAUCACUAUGUAUGGUAACGGUAAAACCAUAAUAACCCUAUCAAAUUUAAAUAAAUUUAUAAAAUAAUAUAAAUUGUUAUAAAUUUUGUAUGAUUACUCACGUUUUGCAUGGUUACUGUAUGGUAGCUGCACUAACCGUCAAGGUAUGGUAAACUCGUGACAAUAAGGGAAGCCUGCUUCAUUGACAUAGUGCUGAGGUCAACAUAUUUUAAGAAAUUACUAUGUUUAUCAAGAAAAGUACUACAUUUUCUUAAAAAAGUUUAUCCAUAUAUUUCCUUUGUAGUGUGAUAACUUUGCUUGCUUGAGCUUCCCACGUGCUCAAUUUAGGUAACAUGAAAAUUGUAAGUAUUUAUGUGGUUGAAAUGAGACAUAUAAAAAUUAACUAGUUGUUACACUCACCUUUGUGUGCUUAACAAAUUGUCAAAAUUACGCCGAUAAUAAAUAUAUCCAACACUAUCAAAAUUUAAUAAUGUCAAAAUGGGUUAAAACUUAACAUUAUCAAAUUUUAAUAGGGUUGGAAGUGGCUACCGAGUGAAGAAGCCCUUUGAUUCACCUAGUGAACUACCUUAAAAUGUACAGCACCAAACUACAAAUACUCUGAAAAAUAUAUACAACAAUUUACUGAAAAUAAAUGAGAAAGAAAAGUAGUUUUUGUUCUUUUUUCUAUCAAUGAUCACAGCUACAAGCUCCUAUCCUGAAUAGUCCUCUUGAGAAUAUACAGAAAUCACACGACACAACCAAUUUGGCCUGCAAAUACGCAUGACAAUCAAUUCCCCUGUUCUAACACUACAAUGUACAAUCCAAGAUUCCUUCUUUCCUAUCGAAAACGAAGGCGAAAGCUACACCGGCGGCAACGCAUCGGGAUCUGCAUACGCCGACGUCGAUUCGGCGGCUUGCGCCGGCGGCGGCGGGGCAGGUUUCGCCGCCGGUUUCCGCGGCAAGACCUCGCAGCGGCAGAGCGGGCAGGUGGUGUGCGAGUGCAGCCACAUGUCGACGCAGUCCCUGUGGAAGAGGUGGCCGCACGCCGGCAGCCGCCGCACCGUCUCGCCGCGCGCCACGUCCUCCAGGCACACCGCGCACAGCACGCUGCCGCCGUGCUUGCUCCCGCCGCCUCCGCCGGCGCCGCCCUCCGCGGGGCCCUCGAACACGAACGCCGGCAGCGUGGCGAUCAGCGCCGCGCCGACGAGCCGGCACGCGCACCGCGUCACCCCCGCGGCGCCCGCUCCCCGCCCCCCGCCCCCCGCGGCGGCGCCGGCGCGCGCGGGCGGGCCCCCCGCGCCGCACAGCGGCACGAACCACCCGAUCACGCCGAACAGCAGCACGGCGAGCCCCGCCACGGCGCAGGCCUUGGUGACGCUGACCGACGCCGCGAGCACGCAGAACAGGAGCAGCGACACGCACGCCACGGAGACCCCGUAGCACGCCCGGCACUCGUAAUCAUCAUCUCCCCCGCCGCUGCCACCGCCCACCCUCGCCGCCGAGCGCCGGGCCGCCGCGACACCGCUCAUGAUAACGCAGCUCAGCUGACACCUUCACAGUAACAAGCAAAACAGUAGCAGCGACGCUCGGCUUGCUCUCGUCAUGGGGGCGCGCGCGGCGGGGGAAGAUAUAGGUUGGCGCUGGCGCGGGGGGGAACGGAUUGGGGUGUCGGGGUACAGCGGCCGGAGUUAGUUAGGGGAGGUGGGAACCGGGAGCGCGCGGGGUGGUGGUGGUGGUUUGGGCACAGCCGCACAAGGUUUAGGGGUGGGGUGGGGUGGGGUGGGUUUUCCGCUUACCGGAUGACGGCGAUGGCCGCAGUUUUGGACUAGGGAGGAAUGUGUCGCGGAAUGCAGUGCCUGUGUCGGGCCGUCGGGACGGGAGCGCGACGGUUUCGUGUCGGGAUGUGGCGCUGAUGGUCUGGUCCUGGUGGUUAUCUGCAGUUGGGUGAUGUCGGCGCGACGGCGGCGGGGCGGGGGAUCGUGCGUGUCAGGUGUACACAAGCGUGUUUUUUUUUCGCUAAUCAGCCGUUGCCAAAAUUUAAAAGGAGUUUAACUGGUUUUUUUUUAUUUUGGAAUCAGACUAACUGGGUUUAUAUUUUAGAUUUGACAGGUGCUCGUAUUUACGGCUAAUUAUUUUUUUUAGUGAUAGAUGACGGAUCCAUCGACAGCGACACACUUAUGGUGACUUCGUUAAUAUCAAAAAUAUGUCGGUCAGUCUUUCGGAGAUGUUUAUAGGGGUGAGUAUGCACAUGUUGUAAACGUAUGUCUUUGUACUAUGUUUCUUAAAAAAAAAAAAGCUGUACAAUUCAUUAUCAACAUUUGGCCAAUUGUUGGGGCUGAGGAUUUGGUACCUUCGGUUUUGGUUAGGAUUUUCACUUCGGAUACAUCAAGUGAUGGGACACGAUUUGAUUACGUGACGAGCAGUUCCAAUAUACUGUUAUAGGGUUAAAUUAAGGUUUUUAAUUAAAAGAGGAACUCUAUACAACAUUCGAAAGCACAAAUAUCUUGGUUGAUCUUCUUAAUUUUGGAUAGGCGUUGUUGGGCGUGGGUGAGGAUUUUCUUUUGAGUAGUAUUGAAUGAUAUUGACGGCUGUCCAUUGGAUUAAGCUAAACUAUUGGCCUUAGAGGGAGUUAGGCUACGUACAAUACAUUGACGACAGGGUAUAGUAGUAGUUAGCACUGCGGCAAAUAUAUGUUAGUCCAGUUAGCUGCAAGCUAUAAAAACUAUCAAAUCCCUUCCACCAUCAGAUAACUGAACAAGUGAACUUUAGUAACACAUAACCAUAACUUUUAUACUUAUUUUGUUACAUAACACUGACAAUUUUAUUUUUCCCUAUUUUGAUGUCAAAUACAGUAUUGAUUUUAUUCUUGUUUUUUAGGUUUUUAUUUUUGCCCCUAGUUAUUUGAAACGAAGGAGGCACCUAUCCUGUUUUUGACGGAAGUUAGUGCAUGUUGAAUUGUUGAGCUAAAACAAUCGAAAAAGGAAAUAAUAAUUUUGCAAUUUUCUGAUUGACCUCUGUACCCCUAGUGAAAGAAGAAAGAAGGGACCAAUGUGGUCAACCGGCUUUGACGCUAUUUCCCUGUUACCGACCCUAGAGAGGCGAUGGCGGCGACUCAUCCAGGCAGCAGCAGGGAGCAUGCUUCAGCGGCGGCAAUGACUCUGUAGGUGAGUAGGAGCAGGCAAUGCCACAGCAGUGGCGACCCAGUGAGGUGACGGGGAGCAAAAGGCGUGGCAGCGAGUAGUCACCUGGCGUGGUGGUGGGGAGUAGGCGGACGCGGCGGUGAUUCCACCUGUUGGCGGGAGCAAACGGCCGCGGCGACUACCCUAUGCGAGGAGUAGGCUAUGAUGGCAGCUGCUUGGCAAGGUGGCAGGGAGGAGGCAACGAUCACAGUGGUUCGACGUGGAGAGGAGGCAAUGGCGAGGAGGAGACAUCAGCAGCGGCUCGAUGUGGGGCGGAGGCGGUAGCGGUGGCUACUAUGCUAGGCGGUGGGGAUGAAGCCAUGACGGUGGCGGCUCAGCGCCAAGAGGAGGUGACGGCGUUAGCGGUUCGACCAGGUGACUGGAAGGAGGCAACUACGACGACUUGGUGCAGGUAGGAGGAGACGACAAUGGCAGCUCCUCUGCCAGGUGGUGGGAGAGGACAACAACAGUGGUGUCUCAUGUAGAGAGGAGACGACGAUGACGACGGCUUGACUAGGCGGUGGCGAGCUGGAGGUCGCAGCGCCACGAGGUGAAGGCCGAUGGUGAGCAGGCGGCAGGGGAGGAGAACCAAGCUGCGGGGUCCUGCUCCGGCCGAGAUCCCGAGACACCUACGCCCUACAAGGUUUCACCCUAUAUGUUAAGAAGAGUGUGAAAACACAGAAGAUUUAUAUCUUCAAAAUAUUAAGAGUGUGAAGAUGUACAAGAUUUACAUCUUAUAGAUAUCUACACCUACACCUUCAUGAUGAGGAUAAACUUAUAAAAUUACAUCCAUUGUAAACUCUUUCAUUAAUAAUGUCUCUGAGAAGCUUGUUUAAAAUAACGAAGACUUCCAUCACUAAGCAUGGAAGUGCGCUUAUGGACCGGGCUCUAGCAGGGUCCUGGAGCACAUCCCGGGACCGGGGGAGCCUGGAAACUCUAUAGUUCAGGGUAACUAAACAAAUGAUUUUUAAGACAUCAUCUUCCUAACUGAAUGAAAUAAAGUAAUAAUUAAUACAAGCUAACUCCAAACCUAACCGCUACAUGUAAAAUACUAACACUUUGCUAAUAACAGAUUAAUUCAUUUGCUAAUAUUCAUGUAAAAAUAUUUAUUUGCUAAUAAUGCCUGCCUGAAUUUCAAUUAUACUUGCUUGGGCAAGCAAGCACCUGCGUGAUACCAACCUUGUAAUAAAUUUUUCGUUUGUUGUCAGUUUCUGCAUAUUAGUUACGCAUAUUUGAUGAAAACAAAACAAUGAACACACAGAAAAUAGGAAAACCCUGUAUUUUAUUAAUCAUGAUUCAUUAACAUGAAUAUUUACAAAUACAUGAGGGCUCCCGCAGGAGUUCGCCUUUUGCCUUCGUGAGGAAUGCUUAAUAGAAAGGUAUGUUGACUGGAGAUUGCGUGCAGUCCACUUAUUCCCGACGCCUAGCAAUGAGGCAGCUGGUUAAUUGCAUCCAUAAGACAAGCCUAUGGAACACCUCCGAUUAAGCUGCGCUUUGUGAUCGUCGUCUUCAAAAUUAAUUGCUCGCCGAAGGUUGAGGUUGGUGCAGAUUUAACGGCGAAUAUAGUAAAUGUGGAACAGGUGGCUUUGUUUCGCCAAAACCCGAUCAUAGUACACCACCAUCACGUCGGUGUACGGAGGGAAUUUGGUGAAGCGAAUGACCUUUGCCUCGUCGGUGCCCAGUCAUGUAUCCCGGUCUUCAUCAAUUAUGGAAUAUGUGGUUGCCUUUGCCUCGUCGGUGCCCAGCAACGGUGUAUCCGGUUCCCAUCCAGUUUGGAUGUGUUAAUAGUAUAGUGACCUAGCAUUGUCGAUACUCGGCCAUGGUUUCAUCUAGCCUCGUCGGUAAUACAUAAAUAGAAUGAGUAAAUGGCUGUAGCCUUGUUAGCUUUAGCUAAUAUGUCGUUUGGCCUCGUCGGUUUCGGAUACAACGCCUUCGUAGUUGGCGUAUGUAUGAGUCAAGCACAGCUCCACCAGUGCAUAUGCAUGGGUCAAAAUAUAUUUUAAUUAUGAAAACAACGCCUAGACAAUCCGAUCGCCAAUGAGGGCCGGGUAUAUCUAGUACCAUUGUUAUUGGUAUCAUAGUAACUGAUAGAAGAUCUGAUCUCCAAAUGAGGGCUGGACGUCUAGUUUUAAUCAUAGAAAAUAUCAAAUGGCACUCAGAUGAUCCAAUCACUAAUGAGGGCCGGACCAUCCUAAUGCCAUUGAUUAUAUAAAUGCAGUCCGAUCAUAGUCAUUUUUCGGCUCUCAUCGAUUUGACUUUAAUCAUCGAGAUAGAUUAAGAAUAUGUAGACGGUCCGAUCACUAAUAAGGAUCGACCAUCUGCCAUGUUUAAUAUAGAAAAUUAAUGUGCUCACCGUCCAGCCCAAAUGUGUUGACUAGCGGCAUGUUGUCGAUGAUGAAGCGGCUUGACGAAAGACGCUAGCCUGCGCUGGCAGGCAUUGUCUUCUGAUCCUAAUCUAUGAGUGAUAUGAGAUAGAGAGUCAAUGAAAAUAAUAGUUGGGUGCCUCCUGUGGCUGUCUUCCGCGUGUCCAGCUCCAGAUGGGGUAUGUGCAGCAAAGGGGUUGGAAACCACAUCCGAAUUUCCAGCACGGGAUGUUGAAAUCAUGCGUUAAUUCUCUUGAUAAGCCGAUGCUCAGAUGAGCUAAUCCAUCGACGUGCUGGAGAUAAAACCAAACACACGUACUAGAGUUUGGAGAUAAUCAUGAGAUUGUCUCUGCUAAUGACAGUGGCCCCACCUUUAAUUUAGUUGGAAGUGCAUCGGAUUGAUUGCUACCAACAAAUCAAUAUAAUCUAUACGUAGUACUAGUCAAUCUCCUUUGUUUGAACAGCUCAAAUCUUCAAACCAUGUAUUAAAUUUGAAAUCUAUUUGCACCACUAUUUUCUAUUAAACAUAUGCAGCGAAACGAGUCCAAUAUUGAUUAUAUUUGGACAUCGUAUGAUAUUUGAAUUUUCUGGUCCCACAUCAUAGAGACACGCUUCACGUCUAUUUUGUAAAAUUGACUGUAAAUUAGUGCUCAAUGAUUUAUUAUCUUUUCUAUGAAUUUUGGUACAAAAAUUCGUCAAACAACGCAAAAUAUAAGUUUUAUGUAGCUUUGUGUGCAACACAAAAUACUAUGAGAUCAUUAUCUGAUUCAGACUAUGUUUCUCAUACAACACGAGACAGAGAUUAUGUCAUAUUCAGACAACGUUUACUGCACAAUGUAAGACAAUAUGGAGAUAUAUUGCCUUCUAUCGUGUUUUUGAGAUGUACAGCUUAUUAUUUUUUAAAAGAUCAUGCUAGAAAUUUUUUACACGAUGUGUUUGACCGCUUCCAUACCUAUAACAAUAACACUCAUACAUAUAGAGAGUACGUAUGUGUAAUUAAAAUAAUCUUCGCCUGUUGAAAUGCACAGACAUUUCUUUCUAGUUUAUAUGAAAAUGCAAGUUAUGGAAAAAUAUUAAAUGUAAAUCAAGAUAUUAUUAUUUAAACAUUUUGAAUGAUUAUGUCACUAAUAUCUCUGUCUUAAAUAAAUUAUGUUAGUUGUUUAAAACCAUUAAGAUUGUUAUUAUUGUUUGGCAUGUCUCAUUUUAGACUUUGUAUAUUAUUGUAAAUGAAAAUAAAUAAAAAGACUAAAUUAUACUAUGCCUUACCACAAUGCCAUAUUGUCAUGGAUGAUCCCGUAUAUAUAUCGGUAAAUAAUCGUUGGAUUGGUUCCAAGUGACAUACCAUGCUAUGCAAUGCACUCCAUAAGCAAUUGCAUAUUCUGAUAAACAAUUCUGACUCUAAAUAUAUACUAACUCUUUUUUUAGAUAAUGGAAUUACUUCCGGCCUUUGCUCAACAUGCUACAACUAAUUAUUACACUAAAUCUUCCGACACUUGGGCUGAGUUUAUUGGCAACCAUUUCCUUGUACAGCUCAGCCCGACGCUUUUAAAUAGGCCUAGUCCUGAAUCCAUUUCUUGGUCUUUUAAAAUUCUGUACAAAUAUUCUCAAUUUUUAAAGCAUCCUAACAAUAAUAAACAAAAUAAUUCAACAUAGAUUUUCUUAGAAUGUGCAGAACGUGUCAUCAUUUCUAACCCAAUGAACACCCUAUUGUUUUUACAUAUCUACACCGGUGGCAAGGCGUCAUCAGCCGGCGGUGAUGUCUCCGCCGCCGUGGUCUCUUCCAUGGCCACGUCCCGGGGCGGCGAGAGGUCGCACCGGCACAUCGGGCAAGUCCGGUGCGAGUGCAGCCACAUGUCGAUGCACUCCACAUGGAACAGGUGCUUGCACGACGGCAUCUCCCGCACCAUCUCGCCGGCGUGCAGCUCCUCCAGGCACAUCGAGCAUGGCUCGCCGUUCCCGGCCUCAAGGUCGCCGCCGCCGCUGUCGCCCUACGCCACCAGACGUGUACAUUGGUAGCACGUCCACUGCGGCCUUCUUGAGCCCAAACGGGUUGGAAGAAGUUCCCGGCGGAAAAGAGGACCAACCGAUGAAGCUAUAAGAAACACAUGAUUUUAAUGUUGAUAUUUUUAUGUUGAUUUUAAGAAAACUUAAUUUUAUUUUGAAAAGAGGACCAAGAAACUAAUGCUCAAGAGGUACGCACUACUUAUGAUGUGUUUCUGUUUGUACAUAUCAUUACUGCUGCUAUAUCCAUGUCUUGUUGCGUAUUACAUGUUGAUAAGAAAAAAAAAUUACUGCUUUUUUUGUUACUGCCAAAAUUACGUCUCUUCACUGCAAUAACUUAUGCGUGUUACUAAGCACAAGAUACGCGUUCGAGUAACAACUAGUGUGGUCUUCACCUUGUUUAAGGAAACAUUGUUUGACAACAUUCCUAGUGAAUGAGGUUUCAGGCGCCAUGGGAGCCUACAUGGUGACCCAUGGUAAGAACCUGUGGUCACAACAUGCUUUCCAGGUUACUGCGGAUCUGGAGUCUGGGCUAUAUGAAUGCGAGUGCAAAACAUGGAUCACACAAGUGUGUGCUCGUUCCAGAUUUAUUAUUGCAAAUGUCCAGUCAUGUUACUGCUGUUAUACUCUCCGUUACUGUGACUACCAUGUUGCAGGCCGCCCACAUGUUGCGAGGGUGCUCUGCCAUCUCCAGGUAGAAAACAUACCACCAAGAUAUGUAUUGAAGAGGUACCCGAGAAGUUCUAGGUAGAAGGGAUACCACCAAGAUAUAUAUUAAAGAGGUACACAAGAAGUGUCAAGCAAUGGUUGUCUUUGAUGAGCACGACUACAGGAGAUUUGGCUUGACAACACAAGCGAGAUAUACGGUCACAUUGUAUUGGUCAAUAAGACUAUUAAAGUUGUUAGAAAGGCAUCAAAAUCAAUGCAAAGCUACGAUAGGACCAUGGAGGUGUUGAAGGAGUUGGAUAUUAAUGGGAUGUCACGUGAACAAUUAUUAAACAAUGAAAAAUCGAAACAAGCUGAGCACAAGCAGCCGAAAGACUACAGCAAAAGGUGCAGUGUCUGUCAGAAAAUUAAAGGACAUAAUAUUAAAACAUGUCCUAGUAGAAGCAAAAGACAAUUGACUUUGAAUUAUCUCGUAUUCAGUUGAUCAGGUUGUAUUCAGUUGAUUAGGUUGCUUGAUUAAUUUAGUUGUGUGGCAAAGAUGUAACUCGCUACUGCACCUUUUAGAUUGCAACCAAACACAGGAAAGUAAAAAAAACGCUUAAAAAUGAUUAACCAAACAAAUAAGAAAAUGGAUACAUUGUAAUCACUUGAUGUUGCAACCGUUUUUCAUACCGUUUACGUUAUCGUGUCCUAACCAAACGCCACAUUAUAAGCAUUCCAUAUAAAGUGUUAUUAAUAUAUUGUGUACUAAUCAAACAUUACCUUAUAAGGAUUCUAUAUGGAUUGUUAUUAGCAUAUUUUGUACUCAUUAAUACUUAAAACGUGUAACAUUUAAGGGAUUGGUGUACACUACUCACAGUUUAAAGAGGUCAAAUAUAUGCUCAAAUCGUACAACAAUAUAUCUAAACAUUUUGACUAAUUAUACCACUAAUAUCUAUGUCUUAAAUAAAUUAUGUUAAUUGUUUAAAAUCAUUAAAAUUAUUGCUAUUAUUUGACAUAUCAUGUUUUAAACUUUAUAUAUUAUUGCAAAUGAAAAUUUAUAAAACAACUAAAUUUUACUAUACCUUACCACUAUGUCAUAUUGUCAUGGAGGAACCCGUAUAUAUAUUCCUAAAUAAUCAUUGGAUUUGUUCCAAGUGACGGACCAUACAAUGCACUCCAUAAGCAAUUGCAUAUUCUGAUAAAUAAUACUGACUCUAAAAUAACCGUUUUGAAGACUGUCUUAUGUAAAUAUGUAGAGCAAUUCUACAGUCCUUGAGGAGGUACCAUGAGGUAGGGGUGGAUAAAAAGCUCGGGCUCGUGAGCUUGGCUCGGGCUUGGCUUGAGCUCGUAAAGCUUGGCUCGGCUUGAAAACUAAACGAGCCGAGCUCGAGCUGCCUCCAUGGCUCGCUUCUAAAUCGAGCCGAGCCCAAGCUGCUCGCAAGCCGCUCGUGAAGCUUGACGAGCUUGUGCAAAAAAAUGGCCUGGCCCAUUAACAGCUGAUUUGGCCCAUGAAAAACCCUAACCUCACCGUUCCUCUCCCACUCCCUUGUCAUUUCCUUUCCUAGACCCCUUCUCACGCCGCCAGCCCGUCACACCGAGUCCACCGCCUUUCAACGCGCGCGCGCGACAGGCGACACCGCUCGAGGCCUAGGGCGCGACCGCGUGAGGCUCCCUGCGCCGCCUCCCUCCCCUGUGCUUUCCUCCCCAGCACCACUCGACGCUCCCUGCGCCGACCUUCCCUGACUCGAUGUUGUUCAUCACCUCGCCGAGACACCAACCCACCGACGGCAGUUUUCGCUGCGAUGAGCCCAGGAUGAAGAUGUUUUGGGAUGUGUUUUCUUAUUUUUCUUAUGCAUGUAGCAAUAGCAUGUUGUGGUCUGUGCACUUGUGGUCUAUUGGUCUUGUGAUUGUGGAGCAAUAGUACGUGUAGUAUGUGCGUGAUGAAUUGAUGACAGAAAGAUUAAGGCAAAUAAAUCAAAAUUGUCAUACCAGUAGUGUAUGUAUGAUGUAUCUGUGACUCUGUGUUACUGUUAGUGCUAUACUUCACUCUUUUUUAGUUGUUCUUGCUACUGCAUUGCAAUUUGCAUUAUUUGAGGCCUACAUGACCUGUAGGAGUUUGAUCCUGAUGCAUACUUAACGUUUACUUGUUGAAAAUUGAUUGCUUUGUUGUUGUAGUGUUUACUUACUGCUAGCAUCACAAGCCGGCUCGAGCUGGCUCGAGCUUUGAAACGAGCCGAGCCAAGCUGCUGUUUUAGUUCGUUUAGUUAAUCAAGCCGAGCCAAUCUAAGCAUGUUCUUUGCCAAGCUUUCACGAGCCGAACCAAGCUUGGCUCGGCUUGCCUCAUUUCCACCCCUACCAUGAGGUACCAAAAUUUUGGUACCUCAUAGUACCUAGGUACCAUGAGGUACCAAAUUUACAAUAGAAAAAAUGGUACUUCAUGGUACCUUCUUAAGGACCGUAAAAUUGCUCAAAUAUGUAACUCUUGUAACUUAUAAACCAUUCUACUUCCUCCGUUUCACAAUGUAAGUCAUUCUAGUAUUUCCCACAUUCAUAUUGAUGUUAAUGAAUCUAGAUAGAUAUAUAUGUCUAGAUUCAUUAACAUCAAUAUGAAUGUGGGAAAUACUAGAAUGACUUACAUUGUGAAAUGGAGGGAGUACUAUCUUUGUCCCAAAAUAAUUAUAAUUCUAAGUUAUUUAACUAAUAUUAAGGUUUGAGAAGAAAAACUAUGAUGUUCCUCAUUAAAUGAUGUAUAGGUAAAAACUGAAGAGUGGUUGAGAGUAGAAUAAGAAAAAAUUCGAAUAAUAAGUUAUUGAUGAGACAAUUAGUACUUUACUAUGACAAUUAUUUGAGACAAAUUUAAAUUCUAUAAAUAUAAUUAUUACGGAACGGAGGUAGUAGAAUUUUCUAAGAUGUGCUUUUCUUAAUUGUCAACAUGUGGUUAAUUGUGAGUGGAUGAGCUAUUACAUCCAUCCCUCUCUCCACUUGAUUGCAACUGUAGAACAACACAGCAUGGAAGGAGAUACGAGCCAUGUGACUAGUACAAAAUAAUGUAAUUACACCAUAAUGACUAAAAGAAAGAAAAAUCGUCAACUUGGGCUAAGUUUAUUGGCAAACAUUUCAUUGUCCAGCCCAGCCCAACGCUUUUGAAUAGGCCUAGUCCUGAAUCCAUUUCUUAGUCUUUUAAUAGGGAAAAGUACACGCAAGGUCCCUCAACUUGUCAGCGAGAUACAAAAUCAUCCCUGAACCGCAAAACCGGACAUCCGACGUCCCCCAACUUACAAAACCGGUCACAAAAGGUCCCUCGGCGGUUUUGACCCCGGUUUUGUCCCACGUGGCGGCUGACUCAGCGUGGGACCCACGUGGGCCCCCUCUCUCUCUCUUCUCUUUCCCUCCUCUCCCUUCCUCCUCUCUCUCUCUCUCUCACUUAUCUGCAAAGCUAGCCGGGGCGAGCAGGAGAGGAGGAGGGUGGCGCCGCGACGGCGACGGCGGCGGCGGCGGCCGUAGUGGGGAAGCAUGGCGGAGGCGCGGGGAGGCCGGAACCCUGCCGACGACGGCGAGCCCGUAGCCCUUGAGCCCGACGAACUUUGCUACCUGGGCACCGAUGCCGUACUCGCGGGAGUCGACGGCGAAGCCGAGCUCGACGUUGGCCUGGACGGUGUCGUGGCCAUCGUCUAGGAGGUUGUAGGCGCGGUGGCCGUGCGACCAGGGGAGCAAGGUGUCGGCGACAGGCGCGGCCUUGACCUCGCCACGGCGCGCAGCCUCAAUGGCGUCCGCGUGGCCGACGAGAUCCUGCGGCUUGUCCCGGACGCCGACGUGUUCCACACCACGCUGCGGUGCGUGAAGGAAUCGACAAGCUGCUCAGAGGAUUCGACGGCGCCGCGUCGUCGCAUCAUCCGUCGUUGUCUUGCAGCCAGCAAGGAGCCGCGGCGGCAGCAGGAACGGGAGGCCGUCUCCGCCGCGGCCGCCUCGACGCCGAGGAUCUCCGGGUGGCGCGGCCGACGGGGAAGGAGCGGCGGAGAGGAGAUCGACCGGCCGGCUCCCCACCCGGCGAACGCGAGCGCGAGCGCGAGGUUCGUGCUGGGCGGCGACGCGGCGGCGGAGACACGGGACAGCAAGCUCGGCGGCGGCAGGCGAGCGCAGCUGCGGAUGGGGAGCGGCGGCGCCGACGACUCCGCGCCGCUCGGCCUCAUCGUCGUCGGCGGCUCUGGGCGCGGGCGGAGGUCUCCUCUGAUAGGCGAUGGCGGCCGCGGUCACCGCGCCAUUGUACGCGGCGGGGGCGUCGCGCCGCCUUGCUUCUCGUCGCUCGUCCGCCAUCACCGACCGCACGAGGGGGACGAGGAGGCCGUCGAGCUCGCGCCGCCCUGAACCCGCGCGCCGCCACCGGGGAGCCGCCGUCGCCGGCCGCACCACCCUCCGGCUGCACGCGCCGCCGCCUGUGCGACAGCAAAGAGCGAGAGGAAGGAAGGAGAGAGAGAGGAGAAAAAGAGAGAGGGUGCUGACGUGGUCUCCAUGACAUGUGGGGUCCAUGUGGGUCCCAUGCUGAGUCAGCCGCCACGUGGGAUACAACCGGAGUCAAAACCGCCGAGGGACCUUUUGUGACCGGUUUUGUAAAUUGGGGGACGCCGGAUGUCCGGUUUUGCGGUCCAAGGACGAUUUUGUAUCUCGCUAACAAGUUGAGGGACCUUGCGUGUACUUUUCCCCUUUUAAUAUAGCAAAAUCUGCUAUAUAACAUCUACAAAUUGUGUAACUGGUUGUAGGACACCGUAAAAUUGUGUCACUGCUAAAGAACACAAUAAAAAUGGUAUAAUUGGUUGCAAGAUACCGAACACAUUAUUUUAUAAUUUUCAGGACAAAGUGGAGAGAGAAUGUUUUUAAAAAUACAAGUUUACCCCUGCUUUCCCUUUCUCCCCUUGUCUGGCUGGCUAUGAGGAGGCGAUCGCGGCUUCGACUGUGGCGAGUGGCAGUGCAAGCAGGCAGCAGCCCACUGCGAUGCGUGGCCCGCUCAGAGGGACGUCAGCCACCUGAGCAAGAGCAACAGCCCAGCGUUGGGCCUGUAACUCGGUAGCGGCCGAGGAGGAGGAACGACCAACGCAACGGCACAUCGUGGUGGCUGCCAAUGGCCAUAUUGCUAUCCUGGAGCCAUCGCUGAUCCCGAGCAUGCUCGACAAUGCGGCGGACGCAGCUAUGAAAACGGCCGUGGCCCUACGCAUUGCGUGUCAUUAUAUUGCUGUUCAUCGGCGUGGCGGUGAAGAGGGAGUAUGGGGGAGGAGAUCGACGGUGAGAGGGUGUCGUCGGCGGACGGUUGGGCGAGCAGGACGACAACGACUACGGCAGCAUCCGCAAUAAGCUCCAGUAUGUUUGUUCAUCUGCAUAGCACGGUCAACCUGGUACAUCACAUAUUUCCACGUGUGAUUGUUACAUUGUAUUGAUUUGUAUUUGUUCAUCUUUUGUUGAUUGAAUACAUGCGAAUCACUAAACUAUCGCUUUGUUUCUUCGAGCAGAAGCAGAAUGUCCAUUUAGGGUUUGUUUGGUUCCCGGUCAAGGUUGGAUGGGAGAUGACGGUCCAUAUUUUGCUGGAUAUGAAGAUCCAGUUUUCUGUUUGGUGGAGUGGAUAUGGUGAUCUAUUUUUUUUGUAAGGAUAAAGGUGGAUUUAGUGAUCCAUUUUUCUGUUUGGCUGGGGGAGUAGUAUGGAUGAGUGGCUACAAUCACAUUUUCAUUAGAGAUGGUUAGUAUACCCCUUCAAAUCACCAAACCCAAAAAAAUAUCAAUCUAGUACAAGCAAAAAAAUCUAUAUAACAUAAAAAUUCAGAAAGAAAUAAAAUGGGGAAAGGAGAAAAAAGGAAAAAAAAAGUGGUCCUCUUCGCCAACCGCCGCCGCGCUCCUCUCCUGCUGGCCGCCGCCUCGUCUCCUCUAGAUCCGGUUGUCGUUGUCAUCAAUGUUGUCUCGGUCAUCGUAGUCGUCUCUUGCCAGGUCGUCAUUGUUGUUAUCGUCGUCAAGUUCUGGUCGUCGUCAUCCUAGUCGGCGGCGGUGAUUCAUUCUCCUCCGGGCUCGCCACCGUCCCUUCUUCCCGUUGCCGCCGUCUCUAGCCUUCGGGCUGGCCGCCACCCCUUCUUUCCGCUGCCGCCGCCUCCAACCUUCGGGCUCGCUGCCCCCCUUCUUUCCGCUGCCGCCACCACACUCGCACCCACUUGCCGGCAGCCGAGCUUGCAUCCCACUGCCUCCCUCGCGUCGUCGUUGUUCUCGCAUGGUGAGAGGGGUGACGUGACCCACCUCGUCGCUCGCCCCGCUCGCCCGAGCGCUCGGGCGGCUGUAUCCGGGCAAAUCGGCCGGAUUAAUCCAUCCAUCAUCUAGGGGGAAUAUUCCCCUCUGGGCUAUCCUAUCCUACUCCCGCCCACCAACCAAACACCGAUAAAAAAAUGGAACGCCAUAUCCUAUCCGCCCAAAACCCUCCAUCCAACUGAAGCUCGGACUAAGGCAGGGGCAAACUUGUCUUUUUUAAAUUUCUCUCCUCCUUUUACUUAAAAAUUAUAAAAUAAUGACUGUAGUGCCCUAUAGCCAAUUACAUUAUUUUUGUGGUGUUUCUCGGCAAUGACACGAUUUUACGUUAUCCCUCAGCUAAUUACACAAAUUUUGAAUGUCCCACGACAAAUUUUGCCUCUAAUAUUCUGCACAAAUAUUCUCAAUUUUCAAAAAUUCCUAAAUGUACAAAAAGAAACAAAAUAAUUCAACACAGCAUUUUUUUGUAUAAUGUGCAGAAGGUUCCUAAAUGUACAAAAAGAAACAAAAUAAUUCAACACAGCAUUUUUUUGUAUAAUGUGCAGAAGGUGCUAUCAUUUCUAGCCCAAAUGAACACCUACUCUGUUUUUACGCAUCAUCUACACCGGCGGCAAGGCGUCAUCACCCGGCGGCGCCGCCGUCUCCGCCGCCGUGGCCUCUUUCGCGGCCACUUCCCGGGGCGGCGAGAGGUCGCACCGGCACAUCGGGCAAGUCCGGUGCGAGUGCAGCCACAUGUCGAUGCACUCCACGUGGAACAGGUGCUUGCACGCCGGCAUCUCCCGCACUAUCUCGCCGGCAUGCAGCUCCUCCAGGCACACCGAGCACGGCUCGCCGUUCCCGGCCUCGAGGUCGCCGCCGCCCUGCGCGGCGCCAGCGCCACCGGACGCGUACGCGAACGUCGGCAGCGCGUCCACCGCGGCCUUCUCGAGCCCGAACGUGCUGGAGGAAGAAGCUCCCGGCUGAGCCUCCCGCUCCGCGGCGCGGGUGUUCGUCCCGCCGCGGCGGCGGCACCAGCUCGCCGGCGCGAGGUAGUCGGCGACGCCGAAGGCCAGUAGCACCAUCCCGGCGAGCACGGACGCCUUCCAGACGCUGCCGACGACGGCGAGCACGCAGAACAGCAGCACCGCCGCGAAGGACGCCGCGAUGCCGUAGCAUGCGCGGCGGCCGCGGCCGCCGCCCCGCUCCUCCUCGCCGCCGCCCCGCAGCGUCGCCGCCGAUAUCCUCGCGAACACGUUCGACAUGAUCGCCGGUCGCCGCCGUCGCUGGUCAGGUGGUGCGCUUGCGCGGCGAAUGAUAUAGGAAGCCGGCGGCGUGCGAGGUCGUGAAUUUGAAGGUCGCGGCGGCGGCGGCGGCGGCGGCGUGGCACACAAAACCGGUGGCCUUUUUGACGGGAAAAGCGUGUGUUUGUUUCCGGUCAAGUUUAUCGCGCCCGCCAUUGGCUAUUUUUUUGGCUUAGAGAGAGAAAAAUGGAAGAUAUGAAUUCUAAGUUUCCAUCUGUUCGUUGACGGCACGGUGGAAUUAAAGGAAAGCUACGUCGUCGUCCCUGCAGACCGCAGUAGAAAAAUCGGGCAAGAUGCGUGGUCAACAAGAGCGCAAUGCAUUUGAAAUCGUUUUCUCUCAGUUUGGCAUCGUUUUCUCAGUUUGGACAGAAUUGUGCUAAAUUUGUGUUGAGAUGACUCAACUGAAUUACAGUAGUUAGAGUACUGAAUUUCCAGCUUCGGAUCGCUUACCUGUUUGUAAAAUGUUCUAUUUCUUUCGUCUAAACAAACGGGAGUUAAUUUUCUCGGCAAAUUCGCAUCAUUGUAAUGAACUUAUCGUGUCUCCUUUUUGACACUCUGUAAGCUUUCUACCCAUUUUCUUAGGCAGAGCUCCUACUGCUUCUGGUUAACAAAACCUAUGUACAAAACAACAGUGAUAUGAUUAACAACAUAUUUGAAUUUUGAAGAAUAGAAAUACUGUUCGAUCAAUGGCACAAACUAAUUACAAUUCACAACAGACGUACACUGUAAAUUUCUCUGCAAGCUUAAUUAGGCCAAUGCAAAUAAUCGACCAUAUAAUAUACUCUCUUAUAUUUACACUCACACGUGCAACAGCUGGUAGCUACACCGGUGGCAGAACGUCGUCGGCCGUCGACUCCGGCGACACCACCACCUCCGCCGCGGCCUUCGCUGCCGCCCUCGCCGGCGGCGACACCACGCACCGGCACAUCGGGCACGUCCGGUGCGGCGAGUGCAGCCACAUGUCGAUGCACUCCACGUGGAACAGGUGCCCGCACGCCGGCAGCCGUCGCACCGUCUCGCCGCCGCGCACGUCCUCCAGGCACACCGCGCACACCGCGCAGCUCCCCGCGGCGGCGGCGGCGCCGCUCUCGAGCGGGCACCCGUGCACGAACGCCGGCGGCGCGUUCGCCGGCGCGCGCGCGAGCGCAUCCGCCGCCGGCCGCCGCCGAGCGCCGGCCGCAGCUCGCUCCGCCUCCGCGCCGCCGCGGCUCCGGCGAACCCACCUCUUGGGGGCGAAGCAGCCGACGACGCUGAGGACCAGCGCGGCCAUGGCGGCGUACGCGCACGCCUUCCAGACGCUGACAGAAGCCGCCAGCGCGCAGAACAGGAAGAUGGACAGGCAGACGACGGCGAUGCCGUAGAACACGCGGAAUCCGUCGACGUCGUCGCCGGCGGCGGCGGUGGAGCUCGCCGCCGACGACCUCGGGUACCAGUUGAGCAUGAUGAGUCGAGACAAGUGCAAAGAUCGUGCAACGUAAACGCAAUGCUCGAUCUCGCGAUUGCCUCGAGUAAAACUUGAUCAGUAAUUAGUUUGCAACUAAUGUCGCCGUGGUCGAAUGUUUUUUACAGCUAUAAAUACGGUGUUUAGCUACGUGGUUUGGCACAAUGUUUUUAGCGUGUCACUGCUGCCAUCGUGGUCAAUUUGCUAACAGCUAAAUUAAUCAGGGAAAAUUCAGGUUUACACUGAGCUGUACUGUGGAGUUUUUUAUGGAUUAAUUACUUUAUCUGGAUGAUGGCUACAUGGAUGGAUUAAGGUUAAUCCUUCUUACAACAUCGCUAAUCGAGAGCUUCGGGGUCGACGUGACGUGUUUAUUCCGUGGCAUUGUUCAGCUGCCGUCUACGGAACAGACAGGUUUACUGUUUAUAUAUUUUACUAUCGUCUAAUUAAAGGAGAAACUGUGUGAAGCUAGCCACAUCCAUUGUGGUUCAUAUUGGAAUACCCAACCCACGGAAUGAAAGUUGUAACCUUUGUAGAAUAGAAAUACCAUCAACUAUUUUGGGGUUAAUUGCAUCACAUUAUUGCAAAUAUGCCAUAUUAGAGAAAUCUCAUUACUAUUCACAAUAUUGGUUGGGUGUUACUGUAAUAUUAUAAAAUUGAAUUGACGCUAUCGUCAUCACGUUUUUCAUUAGGCUCUUCUUACUUCUCUUCUUUUCUUCUCCUCUCCUCUCCUUCUUCCUCUAUCCUCGCAUUCUUCUCCCUUCCACUGGCCACUGCUAUUGUUGCUGCUGCACCUGUGCCAUCGCGCUCGCCAUGGGCCUAUGGCGAUGCUCACCGCCGUGGUCGCCGCCUCGACCUCACUCCUCCAUGCCGCUGAUGGUGGUCACCAUCUCGUGACCGCUCUUGCAAACAAACCGAGGAACACGAACUCAAAGUCAGCUGCAAAGUGGGAGGUGAGGAGAAGGGAACGGACGAAGGAGCGGUGGGUUGGCGGCGAAGUCCUAGGUGUACUUGGAGUCCUAGUAGGUGGAGGUGUCAACGUUGUAGGAAGACUUGCUGCUACCACACGAGGCGGCGGAGGCAGCGGCGCCGGACAUGGACUCCUAGGAGAGGCUCAUCCAUUGGUCGCAGAUACACCGCGUUGCCAGGGCUGACGUCGCCACCAUUCGCUGCGCCACCAUAUCGCCGGAGCCACAUCGACCUCUUCGCAGACGGCUUUUGUGGAGGGAGCAUGGGACUGGGAUGACGCGGGCAAGGAGAGGGGGGAGGGAGCAGGGACUUGGAGGACAACGGCGGCGGUAACUCCACUGCCAACGCCGGUGAUCGAGAGGCACACCUUCCUCGCCGGCUGCUACAUUUGAAACGAGAUGGAGAGAGAUAUGGAAGAAAGAAGAGGGAACGAUGGAGAAAGAAGAUGGAAUUGACAUGUGGGUCUCACGUUUAGGGGUAUUUUGGUCUAUAUGAUGAUGGAAAACGUGACAGUGACAAUUAUUUCGAAUGACAUGAAUACGAACAGACGAAUUGUAAUGAAAAUUAUCUUAAUCGACAUUUUUGCAAUGACAUGGAUCCAAUUACCCCUUUAUUUUGCUUUCCUAAUAUUAGAUCUUAGUUACAUUACUCUGAAGUCUCGCCUUUAGAUUCAUUCGAGAAUUCUGGGUAGAUUUGUUGUUGUAAUCUAGGAGGGAAUGGACCAUACUCGUCUCCCCUGUUGUUCUUGAGUCUUCGAGCCUCUUCCCUUGAGAUGCAAUACGCAUUAGCGAUAACAUCAACUGGUAAGGCAUGGAAUACUGAGUCUACCCCUGCAAGGUGGCUCACGAAGGCAUUAGCGUUUGUGUUGAUUGCAAUAUAUUGGCAUCCUUCAUGUUGUGCUUUCUUUAAGACAACAUAGUUUUGUGGAAUAAUCAAUAGUUGUUCUGGACGAAGAACACCGUCGAACACAGUCUUUCCAAAGUUACUGACGACUUGGACUCGAGCACGCCCUCGAAUCACAUACAUCAAACUAUGAGCAUUUACAUUCCAGAAUGGUGUGAGAAUAGCAUUCUGCAGAGGGGAGUAGAAAAUAAUGUUCCUUAUAUAUUUCAUGAAUCAGAGAACUUUUCUUAAUAUAAAGAUAAGAGAAUGUUGCUAUUACAAAUACCUGGUAUAGAUUUACUCUAGUAGCACUCAUUUGGAUGAUAUUAAGGAUAGGGAAUUUCUGACUAUCAAGACUUGUGAUCCUUCCAGCACGUGGAUCGUAUGAAUCAGCACGACUUGGAUUUUCAAUGUUUAACCUCGUCUUGAUUGUGCACAAGUUCUCCUCUAAACCGUUCCAUCGGGAAGAUGUUUGUGGUUUUUCACUAUAUUGGACUUCUUGGUAUUGAGCUUGUUCUUGUUCUUGUCGUUGUGUCAAAGUUGGUUUCAGCAAUUGAAGGCCAUUCUUUACAUGUAUGAUCUCUCCUCUUUGGUCAUUUUGGCUUUGUAGCCUCUUUGUUGUUACUGUGUUGAUGUUUAAAGCCUCACUUAGUGGCUCAACACUGAAUCCAUUGAAUAUGUUUUGCCCAGAGUGUUGCUGAAUUGAGCGACCAUACACUUGUUGUACCCUAUUGUUCUUACCAGCCAAUAAGAACUCCUAAAAUUAUCAAUGGAUAAUUGAAAUAUGAAACGUAGUGGAAAAACAUAAAACAAUCAUAGUUUCAAUAAAAAUAUAUUUGUUUAGAAAAGUAGUUACCCUAUGCCUUGGUUCAAGUUGAUUAGCGCUAUUGUUUAUGUCAUAAACAUAUAGGGCAACAACAGGCGUGUCACCAUCAUUGUAGAACCAAUGUGCAACACCUGUUGGGAGUACAACGAUAUCACCUUGCCUAAAUUGAUGAAUCUUUUGGUGCUCAUCUAUAAACUUUUGGCUCUGACUUUCGCCUUGAAACAAAAACUGUUGGGAUUGCUGCUGGUAAGUUGCGGGGCAUCCAGGGAAGGUUAGACCCAUAGAACCUCUUCCUAAAAAUUAUAAUGUUUACAUUAGAUGCAUAAAACAUAAAAACAUAUUCUUUUUACCGUGAAGAUCAUAAUUGCUAGUCUUAUUAACAAAGUUUUAUAGUACAUUAUCAUUGUACAAACCUUGGAUGAUGUAGACCAUGCCAGGAGUAUUGGCGUAUCGAGGUAUUAGAAGGCCUUGAGGUUGAAUAACACGUCGGAUGACAAAUGUACCUGUGCACUGAAACAAUUCAUUCGUCUCAUCAAAGUACUCGGUCACACCAGCUUCCGACCUCACAUUCUGAAGAGGCUCAAAUGCUUGUAGUCUCUCAAAUCUACACUCCCUAAAGCUUCCUUGUCGAUGAGUUUGCCAUUGGUUUGUGGCUGGAUCAAAUAGUUGGGCCAUAGAUCCAUUGCACAAGAGAAGAACACAAAAGUAUAUAGAAAAUCGAGAGAAAACGGAAAUAGUCAUAGCUUUUGUAUAUACUAAUAAAACAAAGCUAAUUGUGUGAAUUGAAGGAUAGAUCAAGCUAGUUUAUAUAGCAAAGAAAAUGAGUUUGUUACAUCUAUGGACAAUAUCAGGCUUGUGGUGUCAAAAUUGUAUAUAGGGAAAAGCAACUUUUGGAAUUGAGUUAUACAUAUCAUGACUCAGCUAUGACAUACUUCUUGUGUUUUUGGGAGCUUAUUAAGAUAUGUCUAGCUAUCUAUGUCAUUGCCUUGUCAAUAUAUUUGUUUUUCACCAUAAAGCUCCUAUACUUGACAAGCUAAGUCUUAAUUUAAAUAACAAACUUGUAAGCAUGUUGUCAUUUUUGCGUGGCACACUAUACUUUCUAAGAUAAACAUUCUUUCAAAAUAGCAAACUUGUAGGUUUGUUGUCAUUUUCACAUGGCAUAGUAUAUUUUCACAUGGCAUAUUUUGUGGAGGAAAUUCCAUCUAUACCACUAUAUUUUCAUGGGUACCAAGUAGUACCACCUGAGCCUUGCAUCUCCACAAAAUAUUACUGGGUGCAUUUAAAACUUCUAAAUUUACCACUGUCUUAUGCUCGACUAUACCAUCUUUUACUGAACUCGGAUUUUUGCAUGCGCAAUCAUGGAGCUUGGAUGAGGAGCAGAUCUAUCAAUUGACAAAUGAGGACAUUGAGGGGGCAACAUAUAUGAGAAGAUGCCAGAGUUCAUCGAGACUUAGGGUAAAUGCCCUCGCGCACCUUCAUUUGUUGGCCUCUGCUUCGCCACCACUAUUGAUACAGAAAUGGCCACGAUGGUUGUUUCACCACAUGGAUUAGAGCUUAUUGCAUCCCUUGUCUAAAGCUCAUUGGUGGAGUAGUAGUCUAUUAUGAAGUUGUGGCUGCGGGGAGGUGAUUAGAAGCAUAUCGGAGUAGAUGGGACAAGUGACCCUCAACGAGGGUGCGUUGAUGAGUAAGGAUUAGAGAAGGAGAAGUACGAGGAAGGGUAUUUUGGUCCUCUUUUAACACUGAUUUUUCUGGUGUAUGUGGUACAAUAUCCUCUUAUGCCAUGUAAAAAUAAACCAGUUAAGUUGACAAAACAUAUAUGUGUUAGUAAUUUUGACAUGCUAAAAGCCUUUUUAUAUUUUCUUGACUUUAUAACUUGUCAAUCAAAUUUCUGUAACUAUUUUGAAACAAUUCAUUUUGAUAAUUUUACAAAUCAAAAUUUGAUGUGUCCAUCUAUUGCAAUUUGGUCUUUAUAUUUUCUUAUAUAAAACAUAACCCACUAACUUGAUUUAAAGAUUCUUUCAGACAUAGCUGCAUUAUUAUAAGUUAAUUAUGAUGCUCUCUAGAUUAAAUUAUUUCUUGGACUUUGUGUUAAUGGUGUAGUUGUGUCUUACAUUUUGGGUUGCAGAGAGUACUAACACUGAUAUGUUAUUAUAAGAGUGCAUUUAGAUUAUCUAUAACUUCUAUUUAGUUAAAUCAAACAACUGGGUCAAACAACUGGGAUCAUUAUUUGAAUUCUAUAAGAAUUUUUAAGUAUAUGUAAGCAGGUCUCGUGUUGUUUUGUACUUUUUUUGAUAAAUUAAGACUUUAAAUUUAUUUAUCUACACGAAGAGUCAGAUUUAGCUCGUCAAUUGUAAUAAAUUAAGCGUCAAUUGUAAUAAAUUAAGACUGUUUUGUACCACUUUUAGUCACAAUCUAAGAAUAUUUGAUCAGCUUAAUCGGCUCAUCUUAUAUGGUGACUGCAAAUGUAAAAAUCCUAGACGAAGACUGGGUCACAAAUGUGACUUCUUUUUCUUCUAUGGAAGAGAUUAUGCUCCUCUUUAGCACCUCUUUAGCACAACUUUAGAUUUAAGAUUUUUAUAGAAUGUGCUCGAAAUGGGGCACAACUUGAUAACAUUUGAAUAAAUCAUCUUGUUCUCAUUUUUUUCGAAUGGGCACAACUUCACAAAUUUAUAAAUCUAAAUAUAUGAUUAACUUGAUAACAUUUAAAUAAUUCAUUUUGUUCUCAAUUUUAUAUUAAAUUUUAAAUAACUAUAAUUUAAUAUACAAACUUCAAAUUUAUCUUGGAUCUGAGAAUAAAUUGGAGCUGUUACAAACAGCACAUAUACAUAUAUAGGCAUAUAUUAGCAAUCAAGCAGCGCGCGAAGUGUAUUUACAAUUAUCAUUAUACAUUUGAUAGUAUCUCAUUAGAAUUCUAAUCCAGCGAAAAGCUUAAACGGAAGGCAAUGGCGGCAGCAACGACUCGUGCGUCACCAGCCGUGGCCGCGGGCGCCCGCUCGCCGUGCCUCCUCGCCGCGACGACAGGUCGGAGCGGCAGAGCGGGCACGUCGUGCGCGAGCGCAGCCACGCGUCGAUGCACGCCGCGUGGUACAGGUGCCCGCACGCCGGCAGCCACCGCACCGUCUCGCCGCCACGGACGUCCUCGAGGCACACCGAGCACGCCGGGUCGCCGCCGCCGCCGCGCGGGCGCUCGUACUCCGACGCCGGCAGCGCGUCGAUCGCCGCGGCCGUGAGCCCGCACUCGGCCGGCGUGGGGGCUCCCGCGCCCGCGCGCCCCACUGAUCUCCGCGGCGCCACGACGCGCCAGCCGAUGGCGAGGAGCGCGGCGGCCAUGGCGACGAACGCGCACGCCUUCCAGACGACGACGGAGACGGCGAGGGCGCAGAACACGGCGAGCGUGCCGCCGCACGCGCCGUCGAGAACCCCAUACCCGCCGCUGCCGUCGUCGUCAUCGUCGUCGACGCCGACGCCGACGCCGGUGCUCGCCGUGAGCCGCGAGUACAGGUUGACGAGCAGCAUGGUCACUCAGUGUGGAGACAGAGAGAGCAACGCAGAGUAAUUAACGUUGGUUUAACACAAAACCACUCGCUGCACAGCUCGUUGGUUGGUUUAAGUACCCGUAAAUUACCAUCAGGUUUACAUCAUGUUGCGCUUAAUACACAUACUUAACGAAAUAGUUAAAAUGAUUCUGUUAAUCGCACGGCGGAUUAAUGUUGCAAAACGCGUGUGCUGCCACGGCGUGUUGAUCGUGUACGUGCCGUCGAGGCGCCGGCGAGGUCAUGACGUGUUUAUAGAAUUCGUGACGUAUCUCUCUUUGCAAGAGUGUGAAAGUGAGGUGAGUGACAGCAACAGCACACGUAAACUCUCGAGGGAAUAUGCUUGUUGUUGUUUGCAUUUCAUUAAAAUUAUUAUGAAAAGAUUUGAAAAUUUUUUUGAUGAAAUAAAUUAAUAUGUGAUAGAUCACUCCAUAAAUAUACAUGAUUAAAUUUAACUUUACAAGUUGUAAAAAAUAUUGAUUGUGAAUACACGUUAACUAGCUAUAGUUUAAUUUGUUCUUUUCAUUACAACUUAUUUUAACUUGCAUGUUUGUGUAGUGUUAUAUCACAUGUUAAUAUAUCUUUUUAUUUUUUUAUUUGUUUUUCAUAAUUAUUUGGAUAACAUGCAAAUAACAAGGAGACAACAUGUAGUGAAUGCUAUCCCAACAUUUGUAAUUCCGAAUGGAAAAUCAUAAUAAGAUGGAAGAUGAAAGAAAAAGGACAUCAUGAACUCAGUUUUGUUUUAAUUUUGUUCUUUGCAAAACAAAGUACAUAAAACUAUUGCAAAGCAUCCACAACAAGCUUGAUGUGCUUUAUUAUUUUUGCUUGCAUAGUACUCAUAAUCUAUAAGUUUUACAUGCCGAUUAAAGAGAGGCCUUCAGUUAGGAACUGGUAACCCCGCUGGCUCUUCUGGGGGAAACGAGGAGUAAAAGGGCCAAUCUCAUCUGCCCUAUUAUUCUUUAGACGUCGGGCUUCAUCCCUCGAGAUACGAUAAGCAUUGGCAAUAACAUCUACAGGCAAUGCACGUAAUAUGGAGUUCUUUCCAGCAACCCAACUCACCGUAGGGUCCGAAAUUGUCUUUAUUGCGACAUACUGGCACCCAUUGUGCUCGGCUUUCUUAAUGACGGCAUGGUUUUGUGGUAUGAUUAAUAGUUGCCCCUGAUGAAGUACACCAUUAAACACAGAUCUUCCUUGAUUAUUGGCAACCUGUACUCGCACACUUCCUUGGAUGAUAUACACUACACUAUGGGCAUUAAUGUUCCAGAAG